UUUGAUGUCAUACCCAAUAAGUUGCC
rnacentral:piRNA from 1 species